rnacentral:rRNA from 1 species
UCCAUUGCGGACCUAAAGUUCCUCCUCCUGUGCUUCCAACAGAUGUCCGGCCUCACCAUCAACUUCGACAAGAGCGAAGUGAUGGUCCUCAGCUACCCCCCGGACGAUGCUCUAUCCAUUGCGGACCGGCUGAACUGUCGCCUGGGCUCCUUCCCCACGACUUACUUGGGGGUGCCCAUUAGUGACUCCAGACUCACCGUCGCGGAUCUCCGCCCGAUGGUGACUGGGAUGCAGCACAGGGUUGAACCCUGGAGGGGACGCUGGCUGAAAGCUGCCAGGGUGAUUCUAAUCAACUCCUCGCUUGCCUGCCUUCUCUGGUUUCUCAUGAGCUUCUACAGCCUUCAUGAGACCCUCCAUCAGGAGGUGGCCAAAUACCAGUCGAGGUUCUUCUAGGCUGGUGAGGGCGACAAGCAGAAGUACCAUAUGGUGAGCUGGCCCGACAUCUGCAAACCCAAAGACCAGGGUGGCCUUGGGAUCAUGUCAUCCCGACGCAUGAACAUUGCCCUCCUGACCCGAUGGCUGUGGCGUAUUGCCAAUGGGGAGGGAGGCCUCUGGCUCACCAUCAUCCAUAAUAAGUACCUCCGUGGCCAACCUCUUGCCUUUUGCCAACGUACGGGUGGAUCCCAAUUCUGGCAGUCCGUGAUCCAGCUUCUGCCCAUACUAUGCAUCGGCACAUCCAUCUCGGUUGGCUCCGGGGCCUCGACCUUGUUCUGGUUCGACCGCUGGCUUGGGGACUUCCCCCUGGCUGCGCGAUUCCCAGAACUAUUUGCCAUUGCGGCUGACCCUCGGGUCUCUGUCGAGACGGCCCUUAUUGACUUAGGGCGUCUCGCCUUCCGGCGCCCCUUUGGCCCCCUCGAGGUGGCCGCCUAG